rnacentral:rRNA from 1 species
AGUUUGAUCCUGGCUCAGAGUCAACGCUGNUUAGUANGCCUAACACAUGCAAGUCGAACGGCAGCACUGGGAGAGCUUGCUCUCUGGGUGGCGAGUGGCGGACGGGUGAGUGAAUACAUCGGAAUCUACUUUUUCGUGGGGGAUAACGUAGUGGAAACUUACUGCUAAUACCUGCAUACUGACCUACGGGUGAAAGCAGGGGAUCUUCUGGACCUUGCUGCUGAUUGAAUGAGCCUGAUGUCGGAUUAGCUAGUUGGCUGGGGUAAAUGGCCCACCAAGGCUGGCUGAUCCUGUAGCUGGUCUUGAGAGUGAUGAUCAUGCCACACUGGAACUGAGACACUGGUCCAUGACUCCUACGGGAGGCAGCAGUGGGGAAUAUUUGGACAAUGGGCUGCAAGCCUGAUCCAGCCAUACCUGCGUGGGUGAAGAAGGCCUUCGGCGUUGUAACAUGCCCUUUUUGUUUGGGAAACGAAAUCCAGCUGGCUAAUACCCGGUUUGGGAUGACGGUACCCAAAUGAAUAAGCACCNGGCUAACUUCGUGCCAGCAGCCGCNGGUAAUACGAAG